rnacentral:tRNA from 1 species
GCCGGGGUGGCGAAACUGGUAGACGCUCAGGACUUAAAAUCCUGUGUUCCGCAAGGGACGUGCGGGUUCGAAUCCCGCCUCCGGCACGA